rnacentral:rRNA from 1 species
UACGAAGGGGGCAAGCGUUGUUCGGAAUUACUGGGCGUAAAGGGCGCGUAGGCGGCUUAUCAAGUCAGGCGUGAAAUUCCCGGGCUCAACCUGGGGGCUGCGCUUGAUACUGAUGAGCUUGAAUGCGGGAGAGGAUAGUGGAAUUCCCAGUGUAGAGGUGAAAUUCGUAGAUAUUGGGAAGAACACCGGUGGCGAAGGCGGCCAUCUGGACCGCAACUGACGCUGAGGCGCGAAAGCGUGGGGAGCAAACAGG